rnacentral:rRNA from 1 species
AAGAGGUCCAGCCUGCCCAGUGACUUUGUUCAACGGCCGCGGUAUCCUAACCGUGCGAAGGUAGCGUAAUCACUUGUCUUUUAAAUGAGGACUUGUAUGAAUGGCAUCACGAGGGUUAUACUGUCUCCUUUUUCUAAUCAGUGAAACUAAUCUUCCCGUGAAGAAGCGGGAAUAAAUAUAUAAGACGAGAAGACCCUAUGGAGCUUUAAACUUAAUAACAAAUACUAACCUUACUUCAACUUCCAGAACAUUAAUCUUAAUUUUAGUAUCCUGUUUAUUAGUUUUAGGUUGGGGUGACCGCGGAGUAAAAAUUAACCUCCAUAUUGAAUAGGACUUGUCCUUGAGCUAAGAACUACAGCCCUAAGCACCAAUAAAUUGACAUUAAUUGACCCA